AAAGCCACGGCUAACUACGUGCCAGCAGCCGCGGUAAUACGUAGGUGGCAAGCGUUGUCCGGAAUUAUUGGGCGUAAAGCGCGCGCAGGCGGUUCUUUAAGUCUGAUGUGAAAGCCCACGGCUCAACCGUGGAGGGUCAUUGGAAACUGGAGAACUUGAGUACAGCCGAGGAAAGCGGAAUUCCACGUGUAGCGGUGAAAUGCGUAGAGAUGUGGAGGAACACCAGUGGCGAAGGCGGCUUUCUGGUCUGUAACUGACGCUGAGGCGCGAAAGCGUGGGGAGCAAACAGGAUUAGAUACCCUGGUAGUCCACGCC
rnacentral:rRNA from 2 species